rnacentral:lncRNA from 1 species
AGGAGUGAGCCAGGUUUCAGGAGGGGGCACGCAGGAGACCAGCCCUGGAUUCAGACUUGAGCCUGGUCCACACCAGAGGCCGAUAGAAGGCUUGGAUUACAGCAGGGGCAGGUUCUUUCACGAAAUCAAAUUUCUCCACUGAUUUCUGAAUUCAUAGCAAGCUAACUAGAAGAGAUUUUUAAUUCAGAAUGCUGCACUCCAAAAAACUGAGAAAGACAUUGAGGGAGGGAAUAUGGAAAUUUGAUGGUAUCUCGGCUAAGUUUGAUAUUGAGAUUUUUGUAAUAAAUGUUGUUGAAUAAAAAAGGCAUCAAGAUGCCUAAAUCAGAGAGAUAAAAUGAAGAAUAAUUACAGUAUACAAUUUUUGAAUUAUUGUCCAAUCAACUAAAAUUAGAAGUUUUUAACAUGCUAAAAUGGAAAGUUAUUCAACAGAAUGGAAUCCUUUAAAAUAUGAUGGAACUGCCACUUAAGCAUCAGAAGUCUGCUCAGGUGUGACCCUGGGAGCCCAAACUUUUCACGGAACAGCAAGGAACAUCCCUGUGCUCCUCCUUCCCAGUCUCUUUUUUUUUCAGAGGGAGUCUCGCUCUGUUGCCCAGGCUGGAGUGCAGUGGCGAGAUCUCAGCUCACUGCAAGCUCCGUCUCCCGGGUUCACGCCAUUCUCCUGCCUCAGCCUGCCGAGUAGCUGGGACAACAGGCGCCAGCCACCAUGCCCAGGUCAUACCACCCUUGACAAACUGCAGUCCCUACUGGCCAUUACACUGCAGAGCCGUGACAAUGAUGGAUCUCCUGUUUGGAAGAGAAUGACCCAGGACAAAAGGGGUGACCAAACCAUGGUCUAAGUGUGAUAUCUGAAGCUGCUUAAUCUGCAAAAGGAAACCCAGUGUGAGGAAUGGGAGAUGGAGAUGUGGAGGCCUAGUGUCUAAGGGCUGGCAUUCAGGGGAAGAAUUACAUUUGUCUGUAAUCUCAAAGGCUAGGAAGGAUGGAGCUGGGUGGAUUUGGGAUCACCAUGAAAAGGACCUAUGAGUAAGUCAGGCCUGCGUAGAGGUGAUCUGGAAGCCCCCAGCUGCACCCUCAAUUGGAAAGGGGCUGUGGAGGGGUCUUGAACAUGACUUAGCAAAUGGAGCUAGAUUCCUUCAAUGCUCCAUCCAGCCAUAAAUCAAUGAAAUAGCUCCCUCCUUCUUUUUCUCUGCCUUCCAAACUGAACUACUGUAUCUCUUGCAAAACCAAUUGGAUAAUUCUGUGUUAAGCUUCCUGUCUCCCACCCUGAGCAACCACAGAUGAAUGAUGGUUGUUGCAGAGAUGGGCAAGUCUGGCUUCUGAGAGCUGCCAUUGAACUUCUCUGUGCUGAGCUGGCAUUAGCUCCUCUCCUCUCCCCUCCCCACCCUGCUUAGAGAAUCCUCUCCACAUUUGGAGGUUUGUGUCACCCUUCUACGUGACCAGGGCUUCUGUCCCAUGAGAAGAGAAGGGACAGGAGGACUCUGUCUGAAAGUUCUGAGUUGUAGAUUUGCCCAUGGGCCAGACAUCAGGCUCUGUCCAUGAGGUGACCCAAGUCACCAGAGGAAAAGUGUCUGUCCCCAAUCUCCACAUUAAAUUUGCCUUGGGCCUCAA